AUUGAACGCUGGCGGCAUGCCUUACACAUGCAAGUCGAACGGUAACGGGCCUUCGGGUGCCGACGAGUGGCGCACGGGUGAGUAAUACAUCGGAACGUGCCCGAUCGUGGGGGAUAACGAGGCGAAAGCUUUGCUAAUACCGCAUACGAUCUACGGAUGAAAGCAGGGGACCGCAAGGCCUUGCGCGGACGGAGCGGCCGAGGGCAGAUUAGGUAGUUGGUGGGAUAAAAGCUUACCAAGCCGACGAUCUGUAGCUGGUCUGAGAGGAUGAUCAGCCACACUGGGACUGAGACACGGCCCAGACUCCUACGGGAGGCAGCAGUGGGGAAUUUUGGACAAUGGGCGCAAGCCUGAUCCAGCCAUGCCGCGUGCAGGAUGAAGGCCUUCGGGUUGUAAACUGCUUUUGUACGGAACGAAAAGCCUUCUUUUAAUACAGGAGGGUCAUGACGGUACCGUAAGAAUAAGCACCGGCUAACUACGUG
rnacentral:rRNA from 1 species